rnacentral:rRNA from 1 species
UUAAGCGACUAAGCGUACACGGUGGAUGCCCUGGCAGUCAGAGGCGAUGAAGGACGUGCUAAUCUGCGAAAAGCGUCGGUAAGGUGAUAUGAACCGUUAUAGCCGGCGAUGUCCGAAUGGGGAAACCCAGUGCAAUUCGUUGCACUAUCGUUAACUGAAUACAUAGGUUAACGAGGCGAACCGGGGGAACUGAAACAUCUAAGUACCCCGAGGAAAAGAAAUCAACCGAGAUUCCCCCAGUAGCGGCGAGCGAACGGGGAGCAGCCCAGAGUCUGAAUCAGCUUGUGUGUUAGUGGAACGGUCUGGAAAGUCCGACGGUACAGGGUGAUAGUCCCGUACACCAAAAUGCACAGGUUGUGAACUCGAAGAGUAGGGCGGGACACGUGGUAUCCUGUCUGAAUAUGGGGGGACCAUCCUCCAAGGCUAAAUACUCCUGACUGACCGAUAGUGAACCAGUACCGUGAGGGAAAGGCGAAAAGAACCCCGGCGAGGGGAGUGAAAAAGAACCUGAAACCGUGUACGUACAAGCAGUGGGAGCACCUUCGGGUGUGACUGCGUACCUUUUGUAUAAUGGGUCAGCGACUUAUAUUCUGUAGCAAGGUUAACCGUAUAGGGGAGCCGCAGGGAAACCGAGUCUUAACUGGGCGUUAAGUUGCAGGGUAUAGACCCGAAACCCGGUGAUCUAGCCAUGGGCAGGUUGAAGGUUGGGUAACACUAACUGGAGGACCGAACCGACUAAUGUUGAAAAAUUAGCGGAUGACUUGUGGCUGGGGGUGAAAGGCCAAUCAAACCGGGAGAUAGCUGGUUCUCCCCGAAAGCUAUUUAGGUAGCGCCUCGUGAAUUCAUCUUCGGGGGUAGAGCACUGUUUCGGCUAGGGGGUCAUCCCGACUUACCAACCCGAUGCAAACUACGAAUACCGAAGAAUGUUAUCACGGGAGACACACGGCGGGUGCUAACGUCCGUCGUGAAGAGGGAAACAACCCAGACCGCCAGCUAAGGUCCCAAAGUCAUGGUUAAGUGGGAAACGAUGUGGGAAGGCACAGACAGCCAGGAUGUUGGCUUAGAAGCAGCCAUCAUUUAAAGAAAGCGUAAUAGCUCACUGGUCGAGUCGGCCUGCGCGGAAGAUGUAACGGGGCUAAACCAUGCACCGAAGCUGCGGCAGCGACACUAUGUGUUGUUGGGUAGGGGAGCGUUCUGUAAGCCUGCGAAGGUGUGCUGUGAGGCAUGCUGGAGGUAUCAGAAGUGCGAAUGCUGACAUAAGUAACGAUAAAGCGGGUGAAAAGCCCGCUCGCCGGAAGACCAAGGGUUCCUGUCCAACGUUAAUCGGGGCAGGGUGAGUCGACCCCUAAGGCGAGGCCGAAAGGCGUAGUCGAUGGGAAACAGGUUAAUAUUCCUGUACUUGGUGUUACUGCGAAGGGGGGACGGAGAAGGCUAUGUUAGCCGGGCGACGGUUGUCCCGGUUUAAGCAUGUAGGCUGGUUGUCCAGGCAAAUCCGGAUAAUCAAGGCUGAGGUGUGAUGACGAGGCACUACGGUGCUGAAGUAACAAAUGCCCUGCUUCCAGGAAAAGCCUCUAAGCAUCAGGUAACAUCAAAUCGUACCCCAAACCGACACAGGUGGUCAGGUAGAGAAUACCAAGGCGCUUGAGAGAACUCGGGUGAAGGAACUAGGCAAAAUGGUGCCGUAACUUCGGGAGAAGGCACGCUGGUGUGUAGGUGAAGUCCCUGCGGAUGGAGCUGAGACCAGUCGAAGAUACCAGCUGGCUGCAACUGUUUAUUAAAAACACAGCACUGUGCAAACACGAAAGUGGACGUAUACGGUGUGACGCCUGCCCGGUGCCGGAAGGUUAAUUGAUGGGGUUAUCCGUAAGGAGAAGCUCUUGAUCGAAGCCCCGGUAAACGGCGGCCGUAACUAUAACGGUCCUAAGGUAGCGAAAUUCCUUGUCGGGUAAGUUCCGACCUGCACGAAUGGCGUAAUGAUGGCCAGGCUGUCUCCACCCGAGACUCAGUGAAAUUGAACUCGCUGUGAAGAUGCAGUGUACCCGCGGCAAGACGGAAAGACCCCGUGAACCUUUACUAUAGCUUGACACUGAACAUUGAGCCUUGAUGUGUAGGAUAGGUGGGAGGCUUUGAAGCGUGGACGCCAGUCUGCGUGGAGCCAACCUUGAAAUACCACCCUUUAAUGUUUGAUGUUCUAACGUUGGCCCCUGACCGGGGUUGCGGACAGUGUCUGGUGGGUAGUUUGACUGGGGCGGUCUCCUCCCAAAGCGUAACGGAGGAGCACGAAGGUUAGCUAAUCCUGGUCGGACAUCAGGAGGUUAGUGCAAUGGCAUAAGCUAGCUUGACUGCGAGCGUGACGGCGCGAGCAGGUGCGAAAGCAGGUCAUAGUGAUCCGGUGGUUCUGAAUGGAAGGGCCAUCGCUCAACGGAUAAAAGGUACUCCGGGGAUAACAGGCUGAUACCGCCCAAGAGUUCAUAUCGACGGCGGUGUUUGGCACCUCGAUGUCGGCUCAUCACAUCCUGGGGCUGAAGUAGGUCCCAAGGGUAUGGCUGUUCGCCAUUUAAAGUGGUACGCGAGCUGGGUUUAGAACGUCGUGAGACAGUUCGGUCCCUAUCUGCCGUGGGCGCUGGAGAAUUGAGGGGGGCUGCUCCUAGUACGAGAGGACCGGAGUGGACGCAUCACUGGUGUUCGGGUUGUCAUGCCAAUGGCACUGCCCGGUAGCUAAAUGCGGAAGAGAUAAGUGCUGAAAGCAUCUAAGCACGAAACUUGCCCCGAGAUGAGUUCUCCCUGAGACUUUAAGUCUCCUGAAGGAACGUU